UACGUAGGGUGCGAGCGUUAAUCGGAAUUACUGGGCGUAAAGUGUGCGCAGAUGGCCGUGUAAGUCGAGUGUGAAAUCCCCGAGCUUAACUUGGGAAUUGCGCUCGAAACUACGUGGCUCGAGUGUGGCAGAGGAAGGUGGAAUUCCACGUGUAGCGGUGAAAUGCGUAGAGAUGUGGAGGAACACCGAUGGCGAAGGCAGCCUUCUGGGCCAACACUGACGCUCAUGCACGAAAGCGUGGGGAGCAAACAGG
rnacentral:rRNA from 1 species